rnacentral:misc_RNA from 1 species
GGAUAUAGCAAAAGUUAAUUGAAGUUUUAAACUCGUAUCUUUAUAGUUGUCAGAUAUACAGGUGUGUAAGAAAAUCUGUUCUUAUAUUACAGUGUUGUUAAUCUCUUCAAAGAUGAUAUGAAAAUAUUUUGGAAGAUAAGAUAGUGCAGCAUAAGCUUUUAUAUAUAAAACAAAGGAAAUAUGCAUUACAUAUUUUGGCACAGGUAACUACCGUGUUGUGGCUAUAGACAAAGCACUAUUUCCUGUGCUGAACACGGAUCGUCAGACUAUACAGUUGGGUUUACGGACGAAACAGAAUAUGUUCAGAUAUACGUAAGCUUGGAAUCGAGGAAGCUGUUCCUCGAACGAAGGAUAACACAGUGCAGCUCGCUACAGAAUAUUUACAUCAGAGAACACAGUUGCUUUUCGUAGUUUCAAACUCUGAAGUUUUGAUAUCAUUAGGAGAUGAUUUUAUAGAAAUUUUCUAUACAGAUUAAGAAAUUGUCAAGACAAAACUGAAAAUCCAUUGCAAGCAUAUCAAAGCGAUACGAGAGAUGGAAUCAAAGUUCAAUACUUAGUUAUUGCAAUUUUUAUGUAUGUACUUAUGUUUGCUACAUCUUUCCAUGUUUAUUACGUUUAAUCUUUGAGGUAAUCUUUUACAUUUAAUCGAGAUUAAGUAAUUCCUAUUUUGAACAAAGAAAGUGCCAGCUACCACGAAUGUAACAGUAUACGUAUUUAUAAUAUAUUCAAUCC